rnacentral:tRNA from 1 species
GGGCGCGUAGCUUAAUGGUAGAGCAGCGGCCUGUGAAACCGAGUGUGACGGUCCGAUUCCGUUCGUGCCCA